UUUUGUGCCAUUGCCGUGCUAUUGCCGAACAGGAGUUGUUUGUGUGGAAAAAUGCAAGCUUUCUGUGGGGAUUUUCCAGCCCUCCUAAAAAAAGUACUUCACAAUAUUGGAACUGGAGAUAAAGUAGGUUACCAAAGAAGCAAACAUUUACUUCACUCUAUUCUGACACUCCUAGCCUGAAGAUCUGAAAAAAUAGCAAUAGUAAGAUCCUCUCUAGGAGAGUAACAGAGAUAGAGCUAGCGCGCGAUCUGCGCAUGCCUGCACUCUCAGAGUUACUGUUACUGAUUAGUCUACAACUUACUCUCUCAAACUUGCUUGGAACGCGGCUCUGCACAAAAUGUCUUUUUGGUAGUUGCAUUCUCACUGUAACGAAGUUUUAUUUUAUAGUAAUAAGGGUAAGCCCAGGCAGUCUUUUAUAAGACAACUUAGAUAAUUUUGCUCCGGUAACAUUUUAACCUCUAAAUUUAUAAUUUACAUAACAAAAAGAUACAUUUUAAGCUUUACCUGUGAGUCAUGAGGGGUUUAUAAUUGUAAACAUACAGGGUGUCAUUGAAAUGGUGUAAAAAAAUUCGGGG